UAUCCAUCUGUUAGUUCGGUAGGUUUCAUAUGAAAUACAGCCUGAUUACACAGUAGCCUAAAGAAAAUAGACAAACUGUACCCCGAAAUUCCUCCAUCGCAAAUGAGCUUUCGUUUACAACACGUCAACCAAUCUCAACAGCCGCACUUGAUAAAGGGAGGGUGCAGAAAUUGAUCUGCGAUGUGCAGUGGAAUGAGGAGUGGCUCCAAGAGAAUAGGAUUAAGAAGGUGCUGCUGAGCGAUGCCCGCAGGGAGGAGUGCGAGAUGAAGGCCAGCCUGAGAAUGAACCAGAAGGAGAAAGGAGCAGCAGCAGCUAGAGAGACAGGACCUGCUGGACUACAUGCAUCAGCUGGAGCAGAGGCUGGAAGUGGCUACAGACAAUAAGAGGAAGGAAGUGGCUCUCUACUACUCAACCAGUGAAUGAUAUCAAUACCACAGAGGCUUAUGUACAGACCCAAAGCCAGGCACUCACAGUAUACAUUCUAGUCAUAUACAGUAUAGCACAUACGUCAUCACAUUCUUGGAUGCACACAAACUCAUAUUUAAAGAGACACCCUGUCUUCCUUUGCAGCUCGUGGCGAUGACUCCUAAUAUGACAAAUCGUCUGAGGAUGAGAAACCCUCUACCAGACACCCAGACUACCCUACUGGAAUGACGCCCUGGAACGCUCCUCUCACCGGAAUGUCGAGUGUCCCCAGACAGACA
rnacentral:lncRNA from 1 species